UGUAUUCACUACUGUAAGUUGCUCUGGAUAAGAGCGUCUGCUAAAUGACUCAAA
rfam:Salmo salar isolate Sally breed double haploid chromosome ssa12, whole genome shotgun sequence.